rnacentral:rRNA from 1 species
UACGUAGGUGGCAAGCGUUGUCCGGAUUUACUGGGCGUAAAGAGCGCGCAGGCGGUCGUUCAAGUCGCGUGUGAAAGCCCCCGGCUCAACUGGGGAGGGUCACGCGAUACUGAUCGACUCGAAGGCAGGAGAGGGUAGUGGAAUUCCCGGUGUAGUGGUGAAAUGCGUAGAUAUCGGGAGGAACACCAGUGGCGAAGGCGACUACCUGGCCUGUUCUUGACGCUGAGGCGCGAAAGCUAGGGGAACAAACGGG